rnacentral:rRNA from 1 species
CACGUAGGGGGCGAGCGUUGUCCGGAUUCAUUGGGCGUAAAGAGCUCGUAGGCGGCUCGGCAAGUCGGGUGUGAAACCUCCAGGCUCAACCUGGAGACGCCACUCGAUACUGCUGUGGCUAGAGUCCAGUAGGGGAGCGUGGAAUUCCUGGUGUAGCGGUGAAAUGCGCAGAUAUCAGGAGGAACACCGGUGGCGAAGGCGGGUCUCUGGGCCGAUACUGACGCUGAGGAGCGAAAGCGUGGGGAGCGAACAGG